AGCACCUCAUUAUAUACACAAAUACCAGGAGACUGACCACAAAAGAGUCCUGGACUUAUUCUCCCAAGGGAUGGUUGAGCACAUCCCUGCCACCUCCUGCCACAUACCGAAGUUGCCAAAAACAAUCCUGGUCUUAUUUGGGGUGCCCACCACCCUACUCCUAGCCUAAGGUCUUGGCUCCUGGCUCUUGUGUCCAAUGUUGCCCUCCUUGCUUUCCUAUGGCUUUUCCUAUGCUGGCCAGGCAGGCUUAGAGAAAGUAUGUGGACGUGUGUUUGCAGAUAGACCUUGCUGACAUCACCAAAUCCUACCUGAGGGCCCGUGAUUCCUGCUUCUGGGUGGCUGAGUCUGGGGGCAGGUGGCAGGCAUAGUGGGUGCUCUGCCAGUGGAGGACGUCCCCCAGGGAGGAAGCAACUGCAGCUGUUUCACCUCUCUGUGGCCUUGGAGCACUGAGGUGAAGGACUAGGGAAAGCCCUGGUCAUGAUUGUCCUCCAGUUUGCGAGGGUUCAGGGCUACAGUGAGGUUGACCUUGAUACUAGCUUGGUACAGCUGGCUACUCUGACCCUCUACCUGUGCAUGGGCUUCCAGAAGACAGGAAAGUACUUGUUUGAUAAGAUAUUUAGACUACUGGAUAUUUCUACAAUUCAUUUAACAUACUUCUUCCCAUCUGCUCGGGAAGGAGGCCCAUGAGCUAUUGUCUUGUGUAUCAGUCAGGAUCUGAUUGACAAUCCUGUAGCACAAGCAAACCCUGGCAUUUUGGUGGCACAAAUGAUGAAAACUCAUUGCCGGUGAACAUCUGAGUCCAACAUGUUUGAUGGCGAGGUGUGGAUAUGGGGGCUUCUAUUCCACUCAGUGCUUCUAGGUG
rnacentral:lncRNA from 1 species